GACGUAGGGGGCGAGCGUUGUCCGGAAUUACUGGGCGUAAAGCGUGCGCAGGCGGUUCGUUGUGUCUGCUGUGAAAUCCCCGGGCUCAACCUGGGAAUGGCAGUGGAAACUGGCGAGCUUGAGUGUGGCAGAGGGGGGUGGAAUUCCGCGUGUAGCAGUGAAAUGCGUAGAGAUGCGGAGGAACACCGAUGGCGAAGGCAACCCCCUGGGCUGACACUGACGCUCAGGCACGAAAGCGUGGGGAGCAAACAGG
rnacentral:rRNA from 1 species